GACUGAUUACUUUAAUUACAUCUAUAAAAUAACUUUACAGCAAUACCUAGAAAAGUGUUUGAUUGAAUAGCUGGACACUGUGGCAGUUAUCAUCUGAACUUGUUACCCCAAAAUUCAUAUGUUGAAACGUAACCCCCAGGGUGAUGUUGUUAGGAGGUGGUUCCUUUAAGAGGUGAUUGGGUCAUGGGGGCAGAACGCUCACGAAGGGGAUUAGUGCCCUUAUAAAGGAGGACUGAGGCCUCUCACUUGGUGCUUCUACCAUGGGAGGAUACGAGGAGGAAUCUGCGACUCAGACGAAGCCUUCACCUGAGCAUCCUGACACCCUGAUCUCAGAACUAUGAGAAUUGUAGGUCCUUCCAGUUCUUCCACAUGGAAUGCUGCCUCAGCAUGGCUCGAUGAGCAGUGCCAGGUCGACGCCCAGGAUCCAAACUGGAAUAAAGCCCUUUAUCCAGAAGCUGGCAGGAAAAGAAGCCCUGUGUUCUUGGAGAUGACACUGUGGAGUUUCCAUCUUGCUGAGCUGGGAGGUAGAAGAAUGGAGUUGGAGUUCCAACCCCAAUGCACCCAUUCAUGGAAUCACAAUCUUCAGAACAAAGUUUUAUGAUGACACCAGUUUUCAGUUUGAAUACUAAAUGCAAGACAACACAAAACGUGUCUCAUCUCAUCUCCCAGGACUUCCUAACAGGAAAUGUUUUUAAAUAACAAAAACAAAGUAGGCACCUUAAGAGUUCAAGGUCCCUGCCCACAUAACCAUCCACUGACUUGGAAUGCUCAAUUUGGACUGUUUCAAGUGUUCCUUACUGGCAUAUUAGUGGGUGGAAAGCUAAAAGCCACAUUUCUAAGACUCUGUUGCAGUUAAGAUUCUGCAUAUUAUCUACAUUAAACCAAGCCAAAGCACCAGUAUUUGAUGUUGGAGGCAAAGAAAAUACCAUGAAGCAGAGAUACGACUCCUCUGGCAAGCAUGACCAUAAUCAUGUUUGGUUUUUCUGUGUGAACUGCAUCAGAAAUCUCAAGUCAGGAACCUAGUUUCAUAGCUAUGGAGUUGUGGGGCAAAGAUUGUGUUGGCCCAGUUCAUGGCAGACACAUUCCGGAGUCAACAAUAACAAUGGGAACUGGAGCAGAGGCAUGAGACUCAGGGGUACUGCUCACUGCAGAAGAAGAGACAGCUGCAUUCCAAAAAACAGAGAUAUGAAGUGAAAUUCAGCACAUGGAAUGGCUUUAAAUUUUUGAUACUGGAUCAAGGAUGGCAGCGCGUUAUAAAACAGCUGAACAAGGAAGCAAGACAUGAGAGCAGACUAGUAAAGAGAGAUAUUAAUGGGAUCACAAUGAAGCAGAGAUCACAAAAGUAAACAAAAUCCAGAGAACAUAAAAUUGGAGUUCCGAGUCUGGGGGGAGAUCUAUGUGAAUAAUCACCAGCCAGAAAUCUGCAAGACCGAAGGAUCAAGAAGAAUGGCCAAGCAAAGCAGUCUCUGGUCAAAGUCCAAAGAACUAACAGAAAUUUGCAUUGCGCUAACACUGGGAAGUGAGGGACACUGCGAAGAGCUUCCCCAUAGAAUUUAGAAGACCUCAUUUACUCUGUAUUCUCGCCCACCUCCACCUGUGGCAACCUGAGCUAAAGACGGCUAAUAGAAUAGGAGUUUAAGAACCUUGGCAAAGUUAUUUUUUCCCUCUGACAUCACAUAUAUAUGGUCGCAUAUAUGUACGUCACCACAUGACAUAUAAUUAAUUAUAUUCAUAAUUAAUAGAACUAGCAUUCACAUAGCACUUGUCAUGAUUCUGACAUCUAAACAGUGGUAGUUCUUCAUGUUUCUAGACCAGAGUUGUUGUUCUAUGUUAGAGGCAAAGACCAUGACAAUUCACUUGCUUUGUCUGGCACUGAUGGAUAAGUACUUCUGACAAUACUGUUAAACAAACUUGGUGAUUUAAAAUUCAUGUGUUCAAAUAUUUAUAAAGUAGGAGGUAGAGAUAAAAAAAUUUAUGAAAAGGUCAAUUUUUAACUAUUAAAUUUACAAAAACUACAAAUGUUAAUGCACAGUCCUUUAUACAAGGAAUAAUUGAAGGAGAAGCAGCCUAGUAAAUUCAAUAUGCGUGGCUUACAAUAGUCAAAAAAUUUAGAAUCAUCUUAAAUGCUCAAUAGUAUCAAGACUAUUAUCAUUUUAAAUAUGUUGUAGCAACAUGAUAGAAUUUAUAUAUAGUAACUUAAGAAAAGGGCAAGAUAAAAAUGAUACACUAAAAUCGCAAAUGUUAAAAUAUAUAGCCAUAAAACCUAAAGAGACUGUACAUACCUGUUGGUAAAUGACAAUGUAUAUGAUUUUUCUCUUCUUUUAAACUUCAUGUAAUGCUAUAUAUGGUUUUAAAUAGACAUGGGAUUAAUAAAUCUUAUUUAUUAAUUUGUAUUAUUUCAGUAAUAUCUGGGAAACCUGCAAGAUAAAUAUUGUUAUCUCCACUAAAAUAGGAGGAAGAGAAGAAAGAGGAGGAGGAGGAGGAGGACGACGAGGAGGAAAUGAUGGUUAAACUGGUCACACAAUUAUUAGGUAGAAGAUUCAGAUUUGAGACGUGAUUGGUCUGCCUCGGAAACUUACCACCUUUACUCUAUGUUAUGCUUUCUCCGUGCUACCUUCACGCCUUAGAGCCCCAUACAAUUUUUUUCCAGGGCACAACCUUUCAUUUCUGAUGGAGAAUGGUAAGUAGACAUAAUUCAUGAUAAUUCAGCAUUGGCUGAAUGCAAAAGCCUUCAAACCUUCCCAAGUUUCCCUCACUCACUCCCGAUACAGGCCUCAAGUUCUUCCUCGUGAAAGCAUUUCUAUUUCUUGAUAGAACUAAACGGCAUCCCCCAAAUUUAGUCUUUUUCUAUCAGUGAAAUUUUAAAAAUUGGAUGGAGAAAGUGGGUUCUCUCAAAAUCUGUAUUCUCAUACUGAAAUAUAUGUUCUUAAUUUUGAAAUAAUGUUAGAUGUAUAAGUUGCAAAAAUAGUACAGAGGUUUCUGAAUAUCUAUCAGCUUCUGCUAAGCUUAACAUCUGACAUACAAUACAUAGUAAAAUUAUCAAUACCAGGAAAUUAACAUUGAUACAAUCUUAUUAAUUAAAUUAUAGAUCAUAUUCAAAUUUCACCAGUUUUUCCACUAAUGUCCUCUUUCUGUUUCGGGAUACAAUCCAGGAUUCCACAUUGCAUCUUUUUAAAUUUCCCCUUAAUCUUUUCCAAUCUGUAACAGUUCCUUAGUCUUUCCUUAUUUUUUAUGACCUUGGCACUUAUGAGUAGUACUAC
rnacentral:lncRNA from 1 species